rnacentral:rRNA from 1 species
AGCUCCAAUAGCGUAUAUUAAAGUUGCUGCAGUUAAAAAGCUCGUAGUUGCAUUUCCGAGGCAAGGGAUUAGUCCGACCUUUGGUGGGUAUUUAAUCCUCUUGCCUCGUCCUUGAGUGGUGCUUCUUGGUAUUAAGUUAUCGAGGAGAUAGCCGCUCAUCGUUUACUGUGAGAAAAUUAGAGUGUUCAAAGCAGGCUUAUGCCGUUGAAUAUAUUAGCAUGGAAUAAUAAGAUAGGACCUCGGUACUAUGUUGUUGGUUUGAGAACCAAGGUAAUGAUGAAUAGGGACAGUUGGGGGUAUGCGUAUUCAGUUGUCAGAGGUGAAAUUCUUAGAUUUACGGAAGACGAACUACUGCGAAAGCAUUUACCAAGGAUGUUUUCA